AUUGGACGCUGGCGGAAUGCUUUACACAUGCAGGUCGAACGGCAGCACGGACUUCGGUCUGGUGGCGAGUGGCGAACGGGUGAGUAAUAUAUCGGAACGUGCCCAGUCGGGGGGGAUAACGUAGUGAAAGUUACGCUAAUACCGCAUACGAUCUAUGGAUGAAAGCGGGGGAUCGCAAGACCUCGCGCGAUUGGAGCGGCCGAUAUCAGAUUAGGUAGUUGGGGAGGUAAAGGCUAACCAAGCCGACGAACUGUAGCUGGUCUGAGAGGACGACCGGCCACACUGGAACUGAGAGACGGUCCAGACUCAUACGGGAGGCAGCAGUGGGGAAUUUUGGACAAUGGAAGCAAGUCUGAGCCAGCCAUUCCGCGUGCAGGACGAAGGCCUUCGGGUUGUAAACUGCUUUUGUACAGAACGAAAAGGUCUCUAUUAAUGCUAGGGGCUCACGACGGUACUGUAAGAAUAAGCACCGGCUAACUACGUGCCAGCCGCCGCAGUAA
rnacentral:rRNA from 1 species